CUAGUUUAAGGAUAAUAAAAAACAGUAUAAAAGUUCAAUGAUUUUCUCUGAAACAUUUAUUCUGUUAGUUAAAUAUUGCAGUUUCAAGAUUACGGUUUAAAAUGAAGUGUUUCUUCUCAUUGCUUGUUUUGUUUUCAACAUUGAG
rnacentral:lncRNA from 1 species